AUAAAUACGAAGUCAGGCAUUAGGAAGUCUACAAAAUUUACAAACCCAAAGAGUGCUUCAGCAAUAUGAGAUCUCUCUCUAUCUUCCUCCUCCUCCUAUCUCUUACAUUGUUGGGGUAUGUAACUAGUGAUGGUCCAGAAGAAUAUUGGAACAGCAAAAUGAAUGGAGAUCCUAUGCCUAAAGCACUUAGGGGACUUCUUAAUGAUCAAUACCAAAAUUUUCCAACAGAAAGGAAUAAAAGGAGUCACAAAUUUCUUAGAGAUUUUGAUAUGAAGGCUAAUAUUAUUAUUUAUCAUAAUGAUGUUGAUAUUUAUCCAAAAAGACCCAGGCCUACUGCUGAAGAAGCUGAGAGGAGAAAAACUGUAGAUCCAUGAAAUGAACUAUAUAUAUAUAUACUAUGUGCUUAAUUAAUUAUA